rnacentral:rRNA from 1 species
GGAUAAUUUACAAACCUUACCGAAAGCAAUUGGAGGACAAGUCUGGUGCCAGCACCCGCGGUAAUUCCAGCUCCAAAAGCGUAUAUUAAAGUUGUUGCAGUUAAAAAGCUCGUAGUUGAAAUUCUGGCUGUAUUGGGCCUUUGCUUUCAUGCGAAGGAACCAGCAGUCAUCCGCUUGCAAGUACAUGCUCUUCCUUAACCGGUAGACUGUAUAAGUAAGCAUUUUACCUUGAGAAAAACAGAGUGUUCCAGGCAGGUUUGUCCGGAAUGCAUUAGCAUGGAAUAAUAGAAUAUGACUGAGGUCGAUUUAUUGGUUAGAGACUUUAGUAAUGAUUAAUAGGAACAAUCGGGGGCAUUGGUACUUGUCAGUCAGAGGUGAAAUUCUUGGAUUUGACAAAGACUAACUGAUGCGAAAGCGUUUGCCAAGAAUGUUUUCAUUAAUCAAGAACGAAAGUUGGGGG